CUACGGAAUGCUGCAGUGGGGAAUAUUGGACAAUGGGGGAAACCCUGAUCCAGCAAUGCCGCGUGUGUGAAGAAGGCCUGCGGGUUGUAAAGCACUUUCGGUUGGGAGGACUGCUUCUAGCACUAAUAUUGUUGGAAGUUGACGUUACCUUCAGAAGAAGCACCGGCUAACUCCGUGCCAGCAGCCGCGGUAAUACGGGAGGGUGCAAGCGUUAAUCGGAAUUACUGGGCGUAAAGCGCGCGUAGGCGGCUAGAUCAGUCGGGUGUGAAAGCCCCGGGCUUAACCUGGGAACUGCAUCCGAUACUGUCGAGCUUGAGUACAGGAGAGGAGAGUGGAAUUCCACAUGUAGCGGUGAAAUGCGUAGAUAUGUGGAGGAACACCAAUGGCGAAGGCAGCUCUCUGGCCUGAUACUGACGCUGAGGUGCGAAAGCGUGGGGAGCAAACAGGAUUAGAUACCCCGGUAGUC
rnacentral:rRNA from 1 species